rnacentral:tRNA from 1 species
GUCCCCGUAGCUCAGAUGGAUAGAGCGUCCCCCUCCUAAGGGGAAGGUCGCACGUUCGAAUCGUGUCGGGGACGCCA